rfam:Gorilla gorilla gorilla genomic chromosome, chr10, whole genome shotgun sequence
GGCCUGUUAGCUUGGUUGGUUAGAGCAUGGUGCUGAUAACACUAAGGUCACAAGUUCAAUCCCCAUACAGACAA